GCAAAUUCUGGAGGAGCAAAGUCAUUUAUCCGCACUGUUUCUCACUAGGCAACCCAUGAACAAAAUCACAGAUCUGAUCUGAAGAUAGUGUAAUCCACAGAAACACCUGAAAGCUUUUUAAGUAUCGAUUCAAACCGUAUUGAAACCUUAAUUCGACUUCAAAUCCUCUUCUCGCCUGUAAAUAGGUACAAUUAAAGCUAAACAAUGUCAUCAUUUUUGCACCAGAGGCCUCUCCAUAGUGCACUCUCCGAUCCAUACCCAUUAUCACCACGCUAUUCCUUCAAUUCCCAAAGACAAAUUUCAAUAUUUAGCGGCACAGGCCUCAUAGUUUUGUUCUCUCUCAUGCUAAUUCUUGGGGUAUUCAUGCCAUGGACGGGGUUGCCUCAGGGAAUCUUCUCGGUGACUAAACCCUCUCUUACUAAAUGGCGUGAGUACACUCUGGCCCAAGCGGUGUCGUUUGUGGCCAAGAAUGGGACGGUGAUUGUUUGUGCAGUGAGCCAGCCUUACUUGCGGUUUCUUAACAACUGGUUGAUUAGUAUUGCAAGGCAAAAGCACCAAGACAAGGUCCUUGUCAUUGCUGAAGAUUAUGCCACGCUUUAUGAGAUCAAUGAGAGGUGGCCUGGCCAUGCCGUCCUUGUUCCCCCAGCUCCUGAUUCUCAAACUGCCCACAAGUUUGGAUCUCAGGGAUUCUUCAAUUUCACAUCCCGAAGACCUCGUCACCUGCUGCACAUUUUGGAGCUUGGGUAUAAUGUAAUGUACAAUGAUGUUGAUAUGGUCUGGUUAGGAGAUCCCUUCCCUUAUUUGCUGGGAAAGCACGAUGUGUACUUCACCGACGACAUGGCUGCUGUGAAGCCUCUGAACCACUCCCAUGACUUACCACCUCCAGGUAAAAAGGGGCGCACUUAUAUAUGCAGUUGCAUGAUUUUCCUGCGCCCUACCGAUGGAGCAAAACUAGUUAUGAAGAAGUGGAUUGAGGAACUUCAAGCUCAGCCAUGGUCUAGAGCAAAGAAAUCAAAUGAUCAACCUGCUUUCAACUGGGCAUUAAACAAAACUGCUGGACAGGUGGACCUGUACCUGCUGCCACAGGCAGCAUUCGCAACGGGAGGUUUGUACUUCAAGAACCAGACAUGGGUGCAGGAAACAAAUGGAAAGCAUGUAAUCAUUCACAACAAUUACAUCACAGGCUUUGAGAAGAAGAUAAAGCGGUUUCAUGAUUUUGGCCUGUGGUUGGUGGAUGAUCACUCUCAAGAGUCCCCACUUGGCAAAUUAUGAUGAGUUGUUUUACCUACGAGCUAUUUCUGGAGUUUCUGCAACCCUGCAGAAAUGCUACUUACAAAUUGGAUUCUUGCCCUUAAUCAACUGCCAGUAAUGGAAUAGAGCUGAAGAGUAUGGAGCAUUAAGCAAUAUGGUGUUUAUUUCUUGCUUUUUUAGGUUUAUGGCAGAGGAUUUUUCUGGGUGCAAGGUCAUGGCUGGGUUGAUUAGCAAAUGUUUUAUGGAAAUGACAUGGUUUGAUAUUCCUUCUCACCCAUGGAAUUCAUUACAUAAUGGAACUGCAAAAGGAUGCUUGUCAUUUUGUUGAAAUGCAAUUCCCUAUUUGGACAA
rnacentral:misc_RNA from 1 species